AACGAACGCUGGCGGCAGGCCUAACACAUGCAAGUCGAACGCUGUAGCAAUACAGAGUGGCAGACGGGUGAGUAACGCGUGGGAACAUUCCUAGUGGUACGGAAUAGCUCAGGGAAACUUGGGGUAAUACCGUAUACGCCCUUACGGGGAAAGAUUUAUCGCCAUUAGAUUGGCCCGCGUAGGAUUAGCUAGUUGGUGAGGUAAUGGCUCACCAAGGCGACGAUCCUUAGCUGGUUUGAGAGAAUGACCAGCCACACUGGGACUGAGACACGGCCCAGACUCCUACGGGAGGCAGCAGUGGGGAAUCUUGGACAAUGGGCGCAAGCCUGAUCCAGCCAUGCCGCGUGAGUGACGAAGGCCUUAGGGUGUAAAGCUCUUUUGCCGGGGACGAUAAUGACGGUACCCGGAGAAUAAGUCCCGGCUAACUUCGUGCCAGCAGCCGCGGUAAU
rnacentral:rRNA from 1 species